rnacentral:rRNA from 1 species
UCUGGUUGAUCCUGCCGGACCCGACUGCUAUCGGAUCGAGAUUUAGCCAUGCGAGUUGAACGUUCCUUGAUUGCAGGGAGCGUAGCAUACGGCUCAGUAACACGUAGUCAACCUGCCCUGGAGACGCGGAUAACCCCGGGAAACUGGGACCAAUCCGUGAUAGGUCACUUCAUCUGGAAGGAGAGGUGGCCCAAAGGGGAAUCGUGGGCUUCCACUUUUCUCGCUCCAGGAUGGGACUGCGGCCGAUCAGGCUGUUGGCGGGGUAAUGGCCCACCAAACCUGUAACCGGUACGGGCCUUGAGAGAGGUGGCCCGGAGAUGGACACUGAGACAAGGGUCCAGGUCCUACGGGGCGCAGCAGGCGCGAAACCUUCGCAAUGCGCGAAAGCGUGACGAGGUUAAUCCGAGUGGCUUCCGCUGAGGAAGUCUUUUGCCGACUGUAAAAAGGUCGGAGAAUAAGGGGAGGGCAAGUCUGGUGUCAGCCGCCGCGGUAAUACCAGUUCCUCGAGUGGUCGGGGCGAUUAUUGGGCCUAAAGCAUCCGUAGCCGGUUCCGUAGGUCUCCUGCAAAAUCCAGUCGCUCAACGAUUGGCCCGCAGGAGAUACCGCGGGACUAGGAGGCGGGAGAGGUGGACGGUACUCCACGUGUAGGGGUAAAAUCCUUUGAUCCGUGGAAGACCACCAGAUUGCUUGCGGUUAGUAACCACAAGCACGGUGAAUGGCGAAGGCGGUCCACCAGAACGCGCUCGACGGUGAGGGAUGAAAGCUGGGGGAGCGAACCGGAUUAGAUACCCGGGUAGUCCCAGCCGUAAACGAUGCGAGCUAGAUGAUCCAGUCGCAAAUCGCGAUUGGAGUGUCGCAGGAAGCCGUUAAGCUCGCCGCCUGGGGAGUACGGUCGCAAGACUGAAACUUAAAGGAAUUGGCGGGGGAGCACCACAAGGGGUGAAGCCUGCGGUUCAAUUGGAUUCAACGCCGGG